GAAGGUAACAGGCUGUAUUCCUCAUCUAUACUAUAUUGUUCGCCAGAGUACUACAAGCGCUAGCUUAAAACCCAAAGGACUUGGCGGUAUCUCACACCCACCUAGAGGAGCCUGUUCUAUAACCGAUAAUCCCCGUUAAACCUUACCACCUCUUGCCAUUACCGUCUAUAUACCGCCGUCGUCAGCUCACCCUAUGAAGGAUAAAAAGUAAGCAAAAUGAAUAAAACUCCAAAACGUCAGGUCGAGGUGUAGCAAAUGAAGUGGAAAGAAAUGGGCUACAUUUUUUUAUAAAAACAUAUACGAAUGGUAAACUGAAAAACACCUAAAGGUGGAUUUAGCAGUAAGAAGAGAUCAGAGUACUCUUCUGAAAUCGGCCCUGAGAUAAGCACACACCGCCCGGUCACCCUAAACACACAGCCGGUCACCCAAACACACCGCCGGUCACCAAAAAAACCGCUGUAACCAGAAGGGGGGGGGGGAGGGAAAAAAAACGGUGGGGGGGGGGGGGGGG
rnacentral:rRNA from 1 species